GGUCAAUAGCCUAACGGCUGAACCAGCAACUUGGAGGAAUGAAUAGCGAUAGCUGAUUGCAUUAUAUAUAUGAUGCAAAAUCUAAUUCUUGAUUAAAAUUCUGGGUAGAAUUAUGAUUAUGACAUUGUCUACCCAUGUGUCUUGACCAAAUUACGUGCCAGCAGUCGCGGUAAUACGUAGAAGACUAGUGUUAUUCAUCUUUAUUUGGUUUAAAGGGUACCUAGACGGUAAAUCAAGCCUAGAAGGGGACUAAUUUGCUAGAGUUACUUGUGAGGGGGUUUUAAAGUACUAGUGGUGUAGAGAUGAAAUUUUGUAAUACCAUUUUUCAAAAGAAAAGUAAUGGCACAGGUAUAGGCGAAAGCAUCCCCUUAUGUGAUAACUGACUAGAUACCCUGGUAGUCGAAGCAGAGAAUAAUGAGUGUCAUAGAUUAGAUAUUAAAGUUUAUUCUAUAAAUGAAAGUGUAAGCACUCCACCUCAAGAGUAAUUUGGCAACAUUGGAACUGAAAUCAUUAGACCGUUUCUGAAACCAGUAAUGAAGUAUGUUGUUUAAUUUGAUAACCCGCAAAAAACCUUACCACAACUUGAAUAUUUAUAUUAAAGGUAUAAUUACAAGCGUUGCACGGCUGUCUUCAGUUAAUGUCGUGAGAUUUUGGUUAGAUCCAUUAAAUUAACGCAAGCCCUUACUUUAUUUUAAAAUAAAGUUGUUCCCCACUAGAUUGGAUAUGAUAACAGGGAU
rnacentral:rRNA from 1 species